GACGAACGCUGGCGGCGUGCUUAACACAUGCAAGUCGAACGGUGAACCUCUUCGGAGGGGUUCAGUGGCGAACGGGUGAGUAACACGUGGGCAACAUGCCCCCGGCUCUGGGAUAACUCCAAGAGAUAGGGGCUAAUACUGGAUGUUCCCCGCUUCCCGCCUGGGUGGUGGUGGAUCGGGUUUCCGGCUGGGGAUGGGCCCGCGGCCUAUCAGCUUGUUGGUGGGGUAGUGGCCUACCGAGGCGACGACGGGUAGCCGGCCUGGGAGGGUGACCGGCCACACGGGGACUGAGACACGGCCCAGACGGCUACGGGAGGCAGCAGUGGGGAGUAUUGCGCAAUGGUGGGAAGCCUGACGCAGCGACGCCGCGUGGGGGAUGACGGCCUUCGUGUGGUAAACCUCUUUCAGCAGGGACGAAGCGCAAGUGACGGUACCUGCAGAAGAAGCACCGGCCAACUACGUG
rnacentral:rRNA from 1 species